GGGGCUGAUUCUGGAUUCGACGGGAUUUGCGAAACCCAAGGUGCAUGCCGAGGGGCGGUUGGCCUCGUAAAAAGCCGCAAAAAAUAGUCGCAAACGACGAAAACUACGCUUUAGCAGCUUAAUAACCUGCUUAGAGCCCUCUCUCCCUAGCCUCCGCUCUUAGGACGGGGAUCAAGAGAGGUCAAACCCAAAAGAGAUCGCGUGGAAGCCCUGCCUGGGAUUGAAGCGUUAGAACUUAAUCAGGCUAGUUUGUUAGUGGCGUGUCCGUCCGCAGCUGGCAAGCGAAUGUAAAGACUGACUAAGCAUGUAGUACCGAGGAUGUAGGAAUUUCGGACGCGGGUUCAACUCCCGCCAGCUCCACCA
rnacentral:tmRNA from 1 species